GCCACACAGGCCUUUCUGGCAAACUGUUUCCUCAAAGCAUGCAAGGCUAGAAGGCCAUAGAGAGAGUCUACUAGGAAGAUGAAAGUCACAAUCUUUCAUAACCUAAUAAUGGAAGUGAUAUUUCAUCACUUUGCCCUAUGCAAGGUGGCUGGAAGCUACUGUUGGCUAGAAUCUUCUACUGGCUAGAAGCAAGUCCCUAGGCCAGCCUACACUAAAGGGGAGAAGCUCUUACAGGACAUGAAUAGCAGGAGGUGGGGGCACCUUGGAAUUGGCUUUCCACAUGGAGAGAUGUGGGGAGCAGGCCUGCCCCUUGCAGCGGGAGGUUAGAUGGGGGCCCUGGAGGAUCUGCUCCUGGAGUUCCUGCCGCUGGUAUUUUUCAAAGAAGCAGAAAGCAAGCUGAGUAAACAAGGACACCACACAAGCACAACCCAAACACGGACAGCCUCACACCCGGCUCGUGUCCCAUUUAUUUCAAGGAAAAAUUCUCCCUCCAAUCCACCCCCUUCUCUCCAGCCCCACUGCCCUUCCCUAGUUCAGGGUUGUUCUCCUCCAGCACUACUGACAUUUGGGACAGGUUAAUUCUUCGUAGUGAGAGCUGUCCUGGCAUUGCAGGGUGUCUAACAGCAUCCCUGUCCUCCACCCGCUAGAGGUCAUUAGCAAAGCCCCACCUCCUCAUCCCAAUUUUGAGAACCAAAAAUGUCUCCAGAUAUUGUCAAGUGUGCGGGGAGAGGGGGUGGGAAGACAAAGCUGCCCCUGUUUGAGAACCACUAGCCCAGUCUAAGCUCACAGUUCUCACCUUCUCGGCCGGCGCACUUCUCCUCCC
rnacentral:lncRNA from 10 species